UCCUGCCACCGUGUGAGAUGUGCCUUGCUUCCCCUUCACCUUCAGCCAUGAUUGUAAGUUUCCUGAGGCCUCCACAGCCACGUGGAACUAUUCCCUAAGGAGUGAUGUAUGCAUUGAAAUUGUCAGAGGAUAGAAGACGUGAAGUCAUUAAACAACAAUCGCCAUCUCUCCUGCUGCCCCAAUCUAUAAUCCCCAUCUUGCUUCCCCGUGUAUAAGAACACCUGUGACUACAUCCAGAUAAUCCAGGAUAAUCUUCGAAUCUCAAGAUCCUCAAUAUAAUCACAUCUGCAAAGACCCUUUUUCCGUAAAAGAAUGUAUUAUAACCGAGACCAGAUAUCACAAAAGGGUAUCAAAACAAGUCAGGUGAUUGCAGACAUCUGGAAGUACGAUUCCAACCAGGAGUGAGACAAUGAUGCAUCUUCUGGAGAACUUCUUGUUGAAAGGCUUGGGAGAAAUGUGCGAAAGACUUGACUUCCAGGAAAAUGCCUAACUACAUCACAAUCUCCAGGCUUAGAAGAUGAGAAACCUAAGGAUGGAAAUGUUUCCUUCUGACUUAGAUGGACGAUAAGCUUACUAUUGGGUUUG